GACGAACGCUGGCGGCGUGCCUAAUACAUGCAAGUUGAGCGAUGAAGAUUGGUGCUUGCCCCAAUUUGAAGAGCAGCGAACGGGUGAGUAACGCGUGGGGAAUCUGCCUUUGAGCGGGGGACAACAUUUGGAAACGAAUGCUAAUACCGCAUAACAACUUUAAACAUAAGUUUUAAGUUUGAAAGAUGCAAUUGCAUCACUCAAAGAUGAUCCCGCGUUGUAUUAGCUAGUUGGUGAGGUAAAGGCUCACCAAGGCGAUGAUACAUAGCCGACCUGAGAGGGUGAUCGGCCACAUUGGGACUGAGACACGGCCCAAACUCCUACGGGAGGCAGCAGUAGGGAAUCUUCGGAAAUGGACGAAAGUCUGACCGAGCAACGCCGCGUGAGUGAAGAAGGUUUUCGGAUCGUAAAACUCUGUUGGUGGAGAAGAACGUUGGUGAGAGUGGAAAGCUCAUCAAGUGACGGUAACUACCCAGAAAGGGACGGCUAACUACGUG
rnacentral:rRNA from 1 species